rnacentral:rRNA from 1 species
AACGAACGCUGGCGGCGCGCCUAAUACAUGCAAGUCGAGCGAGAAGACGUAGCAAUACGUUUGUAAAGCGGCGAACGGGUGAGGAAUACAUGGGUAACCUACCCUCGAGUGGGGAAGUAACUAGCCGAAAGGUUAGCUAAUACCGCGUACGCUCCUUGGACUUCGGUUCAGGGAGGAAAGCGAUACCGUGGGUAUCGCGCUCUUGGAUGGGCUCAUGUCCUAUCAGCUUGUUGGUGAGGUAACGGCUCACCAAGGCUUCGACGGGUAGCUGGUCUGAGAGGACGAUCAGCCACACUGGCACUGCGACACGGGCCAGACUCCUACGGAGGCAGCAGUAAGGAAUAUUGCGCAAUGGGCGAAAGCCUGACGCAGCGACGCCGCGUGGGGGAUGAAGG